rnacentral:rRNA from 1 species
GCAGGCUGCAACUCGCCUGCGUGAAGUCGGAAUUGCUAGUAAUCGCGGAUCAGCAUGCCGCGGUGAAUACGUUCCCGGGCCUUGUACACACCGCCCGUCACACCAUGGGAGCCGGUAAUACCCGAAGUCAGUAGUCCAACCACGUGAGGACGCUGCCGAAGGUAGGAUUGGCGACUGGGGUGAAGUCGUAACAAGGUAUC